GGAGCUUGCUCCCUGAUGUUAGCGGCGGACGGGUGAGUAACACGUGGGUAACCUGCCUGUAAGACUGGGAUAACUCCGGGAAACCGGGGCUAAUACCGGAUGGUUGUUUGAACCGCAUGGUUCAGACAUAAAAGGUGGCUUCGGCUACCACUUACAGAUGGACCCGCGGCGCAUUAGCUAGUUGGUGAGGUAACGGCUCACCAAGGCGACGAUGCGUAGCCGACCUGAGAGGGUGAUCGGCCACACUGGGACUGAGACACGGCCCAGACUCCUACGGGAGGCAGCAGUAGGGAAUCUUCCGCAAUGGACGAAAGUCUGACGGAGCAACGCCGCGUGAGUGAUGAAGGUUUUCGGAUCGUAAAGCUCUGUUGUUAGGGAAGAACAAGUGCCGUUCAAAUAGGGCGGCACCUUGACGGUACCUAACCAGAAAGCCACGGCUAACUACGUGCCAGCAGCCGCGGUAAUACGUAGGUGGCAAGCGUUGUCCGGAAUUAUUGGGCGUAAAGGGCUCGCAGGCGGUUUCUUAAGUCUGAUGUGAAAGCCCCCGGCUCAACCGGGGAGGGUCAUUGGAAACUGGGGAACUUGAGUGCAGAAGAGGAGAGUGGAAUUCCACGUGUAGCGGUGAAAUGCGUAGAGAUGUGGAGGAACACCAGUGGCGAAGGCGACUCUCUGGUCUGUAACUGACGCUGAGGAGCGAAAG
rnacentral:rRNA from 1 species